rnacentral:tRNA from 1 species
UAAACUUUAAGUUAUUCAAACUGAGAGCCUUCAAAGCUUUAAAAAAGCCAUGCUUAGGUUUAA